GACGAACGCUGGCGGCGUGCUUAACACAUGCAAGUCGAACGGAAAGGCCCUGCUUGCAGGGUACUCGAGUGGCGAACGGGUGAGUAACACGUGGGUGAUCUGCCCUGCACUUCGGGCUAAGCCUGGGAAACUGGGUCUAAUACCGGAUAGGAGCCAUUUUUAGUGUGAUGGUUGGAAAGUUUUUUCGGUGUAGGAUGAGCUCGCGGCCUAUCAGCUUGUUGGUGGGGUAAUGGCCUACCAAGGCGGCGACGGGUAGCCGGCCUGAGAGGGUGGACGGCCACAUUGGGACUGAGAUACGGCCCAGACUCCUACGGGAGGCAGCAGGGGGGAAUAUUGCACAAGGGGCGCAAGCCUGAUGCAGCGACGCCGCGUGGGGGAUGACGGCCUUCGGGUUGGAAACUCCUUUCGCUAGGGACGAAGCUUUUUGUGACGGUACCUAGAGAAGAAGCACCGGCUAACUACGUG
rnacentral:rRNA from 1 species